GACUAUUCAACAAAGUGUGGAUUCAAAGAUCGUCCUGCUGACAUUAAGGCAAAACUCCAAAAGACGAAAAGCUGAUAGUGAUGGAGGAACCACACUAACCCUAUCAUAGUAAUACUGACUUUUGUAAUGACAACUAAUUCCAAAAGGGUCAGGUCUCUGCAAGCAGUGUUUUACCAAGAUAAGACAAACAGUAGCUGAUGGAGGAAUCAUAGUUGAUACAAAAAAGAUUAUGAUGGAGAUGAAAGCCAAAUUAAAGAUGGUCAGGUUCUCAUAG